rnacentral:rRNA from 1 species
AGUGAACGCUGGCGGUAUGCCUAACACAUGCAAGUCGAACGGCAGCACAGUAAGAGCUUGCUCUUACGGGUGGCGAGUGGCGGACGGGUGAGGAAUACAUCGGAAUCUACUUUUUCGUGGGGGAUAACGUAGGGAAACUUACGCUAAUACCGCAUACGACCUACGGGUGAAAGCAGGGGAGCUUCGGACCUUGCGCGAUUGAAUGAGCCGAUGUCGGAUUAGCUAGUUGGCGGGGUAAAGGCCCACCAAGGCGACGAUCCGUAGCUUGUCUGAGAGGAUGAUCGGCCACACUGGAACUGAGACACGGUCCAGACUCCUACGGGAGGCAGCAGUGGGGAAUAUUGGACAAUGGGCGCAAGCCUGAUCCAGCCAUACCGCGUGGGUGAAGAAGGCCUUCGGGUUGUAAAGCCCUUUUGUUGGGAAAGAAAAGCAGCAGGUUAAUACCCCGCUGUUCUGACGGUACCCAAAGAAUAAGCACCGGCUAACUUCGUG